rnacentral:rRNA from 1 species
AUUGAACGCUGGCGGCAGGCCUAACACAUGCAAGUCGAACGGUAGCACAGAGAGCUUGCUCUCGGGUGACGAGUGGCGGACGGGUGAGUAAUGUCUGGGAAACUGCCCGAUGGAGGGGGAUAACUACUGGAAACGGUAGCUAAUACCGCAUAACGUCGCAAGACCAAAGUGGGGGACCUUCGGGCCUCACACCAUCGGAUGUCGCCAGAUUGGAUUAGCUAGUAGGUGGGGUAAUGGCUCACCUAGGCGACGAUCCCUAGCUGGUCUGAGAGGAUGACCAGCCACACUGGAACUGAGACACGGUCCAGACUCCUACGGGAGGCAGCAGUGGGGAAUAUUGCACAAUGGGCGCAAGCCUGAUGCAGCCAUGCCGCGUGUAUGAAGAAGGCCUUCGGGUUGUAAAGUACUUUCAGCGGGGAGGAAGGCGGUGGAGUUAAUAACUUCACCGAUUGACGUUACCCGCAGAAGAAGCACCGGCUAACUCCGUGCCAGCCGCCGCAGUAA